GGGAUAGCCUUUCGAAAGAAAGAUUAAUAUCCGAUAGCAUAUAUUUCCCGCAUGGGUUUUAUAUUAAAGAAAUUCGGUAUGAGAUGGGGAUGCGUUCCAUUAGUUUGUUGGCGGGGUAACGGCCCACCAAGACUACGAUGGAUAGGGGUUCUGAGAGGAAGGUCCCCCACAUUGGAACUGAGACACGGUCCAAACUCNUACGGGAGGCAGCAGUGAGGAAUAUUGGUCAAUGGACGCGAGUCUGAACCAGCCAAGUAGCGUGAAGGAUGACUGCCCUAUGGGUUGUAAACUUCUUUUAUAUGGGAAUAAAGUGGUCCACGUGUGGAUUUUUGUAUGUACCAUAUGAAUAAGGAUCGGCUAACUCCGUGCCAGCAGCCGCGGUAAUACGGAGGAUCCGAGCGUUAUCCGGAUUUAUUGGGUUUAAAGGGAGCGUAGGCGGAUUGUUAAGUCAGUUGUGAAAGUUUGCGGCUCAACCGUAAAAUUGCAGUUGAUACUGGCAGUCUUGAGUGCAGUAGAGGUGGGCGGAAUUCGUGGUGUAGCGGUGAAAUGCUUAGAUAUCACGAAGAACUCCGAUUGC
rnacentral:rRNA from 1 species